GAUGAACGCUGGCGGCGUGCCUAAUACAUGCAAGUCGAGCGAAGCGGGGACGGGUGAGUAACACGUGGAUAACCUCCUAUAAGACUGGGAUAACUUCGGGAAACCGGAGCUACACCGGAUACUUACAGAUGGAUCUGUGCUGCAUGUGCUAGUUGGUAAGGUAACGGCUUACCAAGGCAACUAUGCAUAGCCGAUCUGAGAGGGGCUUCGGCCACACUGGAACUGAGCCCGGGUCCAGACCCCGACGGGAGGCAGCAGGAGGGAAGCUUCCGCAGUGGGCGAAAGCCUUACGGAGCACCGCCGCGUGAGGGAUGAAGGUCUUCGGAUCGUAAAACUCUGUUAUUAGGGACGCGGUGCCUAAUCAGAAAGCCACGGCUAACUACGUGCCAGCAGCCGCGGUAAUUC
rnacentral:rRNA from 1 species